rnacentral:rRNA from 1 species
AAACCAGCGCCACGAGUAGGGGUCGUGAUUAUUGGGCCUAAAGCGUCCGUAGCCUGUCGGGUAAAUCUUCUGUGAAAUCGUAGGUCUUAAGCUUACGGCGUGCAGGAGACACUGCUCGACUAGAGACCGGGAGGGGUAGGAGGUAUUCCGUGGGGAGCGGUAAAAUGCUAUAAUCCUCGGAGGACCAACUGUGGCGAAGGCGUCCUACUGGAACGGGUCUGACGGUGAGGGACGAAAGCCAGAGGAGCAAACCGGAUUAGAUACCCGAGUAGUCC